AUUUAUGGUGGGGGGUGGCACCGAAGAGAAAAGGGUUGGGUAAACUAAAUUUUGAGUAAGUAAAAGGUUGGGUAAAUGAAAAACAAAACAACUCAAGGGUUGGGUAAUAAAAAAAUAUUGUCAUUUCCAAAGCAUGACUCACUGAAGUAUUGGGGACUAAAAAGCAAUGGCAACAGUACGCCCUACUCUGGGGCGAUAAUGAGAUAAUGCAAGUUUAAGCAAUUUUAGGUGAUUUAAGCAAAAUCUGCAAUUUAAGCAAUGCGAGUUUGAGCGAUAUAGGGCAAUGUAAGAAAACAAUUAAAAUUUUAGGGAAUGCUGUUUUAGGUGUUUAGAGGUAAUUUGAUGACUCCAAUGAAAUUACCAUUAACCUAUGCCAAGCAUCCAAACAUGAGUGUUCCCACAAACACACACACAUG